ensembl:lncRNA
AUUUGAAUAGGGUUUCAGACCAGGGCCGUAGGGACCUAUUUGAAUAGGGUUUCAGACCAGGGCCGUAGGGACCUAUUGGAAUAGGGUUUCAGACUGUUGGAACUAGUAACAUAAGCAUUUUGCUGCACCUGCUAUAACACUUCCAAAUCUGUGCAAGCAACCAAUACACUUUGGUUGAUUUGGAAAGUAGUGCACUAUAAUAGGGAAUAGGGUUCCAUAGGGCCCUGGUCUAAAGUAGUUCACUAUAUAUAGGGAAUAGGGUGCCAUAGGGCUCUGGUCUAUAGUAGUGCCCUAUAUAGGGAAUAGGGUGCCAUAGGGCUCUGGUCUAUAGUAGUGCCCUAUAUAGGGAGCCGUUUCAGGCGCUGCCAGAGUCUUCAAAGCCCAUGUCCCCCAGAGGGUUUCUGAAGGGUAGGUCCAGGAGUUUUUCCUGACCCCUCUGUAACCUGCAGGAUAAACUCUAUGCCAUAGAACGGACCUCCCAAUUCAAGUCAAUAAUGGCAUACUGGGUGUAGAGGUUCCAUUUUUAUAUUCCAGGCCUGACCGAUAAAGAGCUGUUGGCUAUAUGUUUUCCUUUUUCAAAUCUCUCAUCUAUGACCUCUAGGUGUUUCAAACCUGUCUUCUACAACCUCUAGGUGUUAUAAACCUCUCCUCUACAACCUCUAGGUGUUGUAAACCUCUCAUCUAUGACCUCUAGGUGUUGUAAACCUCUCCUCUACAACCUCUAGGUGUUAUAAACCUCUCCACAACCUCUAGGUGUUUCAAACCUCUCCAGGACCUCUAGGUGUUUCAAACCUCUCCAGGACCUCUAGGUGUUUCAAACCUUUCUAGGACCUCUAGGUGUUUCAAACCUCUCCAGGACCUCUAGGUGUUUCAAACCUUUCUAGGACCUCUAGGUGUUUCAAACCUUUCUAGGACCUCUAGGUGUUUCAAACCUCUCCUCUAGGUGUUCCAAACCUCUCCUCUAGGACCUCUUGUUGCAGCCCUGACCUAGCACACUUGAUUCAAAUAGUCAAGGGCUUGAUGAUUGGUUGACAAGUUGAAUCAGGUGUUCUAGCUCUGGAAUAGUUCAAAUACAUGGAACGGCUGGAGAACCCAGAGGAGAGGUUUGAGAACGGCUGGAGAACCCAGAGGAGAGGUUUGAGAAUGGCUGGAGAACCCAGAGGAGAGGUUUGAGAACGGCUGGAGGUCCCAGAGGAGAGGUUUGAGAACGGCUGGAGAACCCAGAGGAGAGGUUUGAGAACGGCUGGAGAACCCAGAGGAGAGGUUUGAGAACGGCUGGAGGUCCCGGGGGAGAGGUUUGAGAACGGCUGGAGGUCUCGGAGGAGAGUUUUGGAACGGCUGGAGAACCCGGAGGAGAGGUUUGGAAAAGGCUGAGCUAUAUGUUUGCCAAACAACUUUACAUGUCUGUUUCACACACAGGAAGGUAUUGCAGUUGAAUCACAAUUCAUGUUGAUUAAAACAAAUGAUAAUGAAAGAUUUGUAUUUCUGUGUGUAGUAACCAGGUAUUAUUAUUGUGUACUGUGUUAGUUUAGAGGUGUUACAGAGUGAAAGAUGGGGGUAACAGGAAGAGGAGGAGUCGAAGAGCAAUGGGCUGGAUGACAGGAAGGGGAGGAGUCAUAGGGCAGUGGGCUGGAUGACAGGAAGAGGAGGAGUCAUAGGGCAGUGGGCUGGAUGACAGGAAGAGGAGGAGUCAUAGGGCAGUGGGCUGGAUGACAGGAAGAGG